GGAUCUGAAGGGUGUGCUAUAAAGUCUCACUUGGAUUUUCGUCCUUUUGAUUGGACAGGUUAGGUGCCCCCACCCCCACUGUUGUUUAAGGGUCCCCCACAUGAGUAGAUACAUUAGCUCCUGUGUUGAAAAAUACCAUAGAGAAAAUAACUUUGAUUAUAGGUGUCUUCUGAUUGUCAAAAAUUGUGCUGUUCCUCCACUUGGUGUGAACAAAAAUGGCCUCGCUUGACCAAGAUCUGACAGAGACAGAGGAAGAUCUGACAGGAAGAGUAGAUGCAGCUGUAUGUGGAAAGGACACAAACUGAAAUCGAAAGCAAUAGUGAACAGCCCGAAAAUGAAGCCUUCCAGGGACAGAAAGGAAGCACUCUGUGCAAUUUUGCUGGGCUUGGCAGUGAUGCAAGGAUUUCAGAGGUUGAGACAGCCUGGGAUGGGGUGGAGCCUCUGACACCCCGGAAGCAGCAGACCGCGUGCUUGGAGGUCAAGGUCGUGGUUCCCUGACCUGGGCUGAGAGAGCAGACAUCAGCUCACGGGGUGGCCAAACGGGAGAAGACCUGCCUGGCCAAAGAGGUGAGUGUGAUACAGCGGCACUGUGGUCAACGUGGUACCCACCUUUGGCAAGAAGAUGGGCCCCAAUGCUAACUCUUAAGCCCCUUAUAAUCCCAGCUUUCUCUAAGGAAGCCACUCAGCCUCGUCAAAAAACUAAAAUAAAUAUUACAUCACAUGGGUACCGGAGAAGACUUUACACUAACUUAAUAGAGUCACUUUUUUUGGCAUAUUGUUUUCUCCUUAUGUCCUAACCAAAAAUAAAUGAAUAUAAACAUUUGUGAAGAAUUCUCAUACUGACAUUUGCCAAGGAUAAAACUACUAGGAAACUACAGUUUUUAAAACUGUGGAUUUCUUAUGCUGCCUUCAGAGAAAACUCAGGAUUCCAUCCCUUGAUGUGAGAUUUUAAGAUCCUGUCCAGACCUAAAAUAUACAAAGUUAAGAUAAUGUUGAAAAGAGGCAAGAACCUGACAUCUUUACUAAAU
rnacentral:lncRNA from 1 species